CAGCAAUAGCUGUAAAUCAUGGCAGGAGAAUGACUGAGGCAGCUACAAUGAUUCAACCAAACCUCAGAUGAUCAACCGUGUCCUCAAUCAUCAGAACUUUCUGCAAUGAGAACCGAAUUGAGACUAGGCCACAUAGAGGAGGCGGAGGCAAAAUUCUGACUGACCAACAAGAGCGGGCUGUGGUCAAUUUGGUUCAGGCCAGAAAUGAUGUUACAGAAAUUCGACAGCACAUCCUGGACAAUGACGACAUGUUCAACAAUGUGGAAACCAUAAGUUUGCCGACUAUUGCAGGCAUGCUGAAAAGGCACCAGGUGUCUCUAAAACAGCUAUACCGUGUGCCUUUUGAAAGAAAUGCAGACCGAGUGAAGCAACUGAGGACUGAGUAUGUUCAGAGGGUGAUGGAGCUGGAUACUGACGAAAACCAUCACAAAUUCCAAUUUUUGGAUGGCAGGCUUCAACCUGGCCGAGACAAGGAGGAGAGGUCGGAAUUUAAUUGGUGGAAGGUAUAUGAUAGGCGCCCUCGCGAACAAGCCACCCUUCUCCAGGCCAUGGAUGACGCAUACAAUGACAUCACGGCAGACCAGUGUCAGGCCUGGAAUCGCCCAAAGAUUCUUCCCAAGAUGUUUGGCUAAUGAAAACCUCCAUUGUGAUGUGGAUGAGAACCUGUGGCCAAAUCCACAAGACAAGGUUGAUUGAAAUAUAGAAGUACAGUAAUCAAUCCUUUGUUUUUUACAGCAAGCCAAGUGAUGAACAUGCAGUUUUUUUCUUUUUUGUAGCUAAUAAUUUUUUGCUAUGAUUCAAAGAAACCUAUGUUGUGAUUUUAUUUUGUUCAAUGAUUCCACUGUGUCUGUAGUAUUCCCUUUACUAGUCAUUUUACAGUGAUGUAUUUAUGUUUAGUACCAUAAUGAAACAUGUAUCACAGAUUUUGAACUACAAUAUUUAAUGAUUGAACAAACAACUACACAGUGAAACUAUCGGUAUCUGGUGUGUGGGGGAUCUAAAUGAAUGUUCCUAUGGUAUUUCAUGAUUAAUGAGUUAUUUGAACCAAUGAUUCUGCAAGUGCAAGGUUUCUUCAAAGAUAUGAAUGCACAAUGCAAUGUUUUUAACAUUGGAACAGCCUAUGUUACAAGUGAUGACCGUUAUGAGUUUUGUUUCUUGAGUUUUGAGAAAUGACCACAAGGUUCUGAAAUUUGUGCCAAAAUGAUAUUAAAAAAUGGUAACUAGGCCAUUAGUGCCGGGAUAAUCACCGGGAUAAUCACCGGGAUAAUCACCGGGAUAAUCACAUGAUUGA